UACGUAGGUGGCAAGCGUUGUCCGGAAUUAUUGGGCGUAAAGCGCGCGCAGGCGGUCCUUUAAGUCUGAUGUGAAAGCCCACGGCUCAACCGUGGAGGGUCAUUGGAAACUGGGGGACUUGAGUGCAGAAGAGGAAAGCGGAAUUCCACGUGUAGCGGUGAGAUGCGUAGAGAUGUGGAGGAACACCAGUGGCGAAGGCGGCUUUCUGGUCUGUAACUGACGCUGAGGCGCGAAAGCGUGGGGAGCAAACAGG
rnacentral:rRNA from 1 species